GUGUAGUUGCGAUAUGUGGUGUAAAUAAGCACCAAGCUCAAGAAGUUCUUGAAGAACUGGAUGUUCACAAACGUACGGUUGACACUGGAAUUGAUGAAAAAAGGAAAUGGAAAUUAGCAAGAUUCAGGUAUCCAUAGCAAAAGCAAUUGAAGAAAGAAUUAGCGGUGAGCAACGCCGUCACGUGCUAAAUGAGCAGCUCAAGGCUAUAAAGAAGGGGCUUGGUGUGGAGACAGAUGACAAAUCUGCACUUUUUGUCAGCACUCACAGGUGAAUCUCUUCCGGUGACCAAAAAUCCCGAUUCCUCAGUGUACUCUGGUGCAACUUGCAAGCAAGGUGAAAUUGAAGCAGUUUUUAUAGCUACUGGUGUCCACACUCUCUUCGGUGAAGAGUUUUUUUUCUUCUUCUGAUUUCCAGGUUAUGACAGCAAUAUGAAAUUUCUGUAUCUGCUUGAUUGCAGUGGGAAUGGCGAUUGAAAUCAUCGUUAUAUACGGCCUCCAAAAGAAAGAUGAAACAUUAGUGCAGGCUUGGGGAUGUAGAAUACGAGGUUGUGUGUGUAGAGAUGAUAUAAUGGAAAGAUUCAUGUUUUAUGUGUGAUUUAGUUUGCAGAUUAAUAGAGAGAGAGACAGUUGGAAGAGGAGAUGCAUAAGAAGUUAUGUGCAACCCAGUUCAGAAAACUUGGAGCUGAUAUGCACACAUGACUAUGGCUUCUUGGAAAGGGGGUUAGUAGGGAGUGUGAGCGAGUAUUGUGCGAAACGAGUGAAGUGUCCUGUGAUUAUCGUCAAGAAGCAACCUCAAGAUAGUUGAGCUUAUCAUAUCUCUUUUAUGAUUGUAUAUGUUUUAAAGCAAUUGAUGUAAAAUUUGAAUCAAUCUUCGUAUGCAAUCAUAAAUACAUGACGGGUUUAAAUAGUAA